rnacentral:rRNA from 1 species
GACGAACGCUGGCGGCGUGCUUAACACAUGCAAGUCGAGCGGUAAGGCCCUUUCGGGGGUACGACGAGCGGCGAACGGGUGAGUAACACGUGGGUGACCUGCCCUCAGCUCUGGGAUAAGCCUGGGAAACCGGGUCUAAUACCGGAUAUGACUCCAUGACGCAUGUUGUGGGGUGGAAAGCCUUGUGCGGCUGAGGAUGGGCCCGCGGCCUAUCAGCUUGUUGGUGGGGUGAGGCCUACCAAGGCGACGACGGGUAGCCGGCCUGAGAGGGCGACCGGCACACUGGGACUGAGACACGGCCCAGACUCCUACGGGAGGCAGCAGUGGGGAACU